UGGGGAAUAUUGGACAAUGGGCGCAAGCCUGAUCCAGCCAUGCCGCGUGAGUGAUGAAGGCCCUAGGGGUGUAAAGCUCUUUCACCGGUGAAGAUAAUGACGGUAACCGGAGAAGAAGCCCCGGCUAACUUCGUGCCAGCAGCCGCGGUAAUACGAAGGGGGCUAGCGUUGUUCGGAUUUACUGGGCGUAAAGCGCACGUAGGCGGACUUUUAAGUCAGGGGUGAAAUCCCGGGGCUCAACCCCGGAACUGCCUUUGAUACUGGAAGGCUUGAGUAUGGUAGAGGUGAGUGGAAUUCCGAGUGUAGAGGUGAAAUUCGUAGAUAUUCGGAGGAACACCAGUGGCGAAGGCGGCUCACUGGACCAUUACUGACGCUGAGGUGCGAAAGCGUGGGGAGCAAACAGG
rnacentral:rRNA from 1 species